AGACCGGGCUUCUGGGUUCCUCGGCUCCUCGGCUGGAGCAGAGCACCCAGCUGUUCAGGGGGCCGGGCCUGCCCGCACCCUGCCCAUCAGGCCCGGCGCGAUGGAACACUUCUCCGGCUCUGCCACCAACUUACUGUGCGAGACCCGGCCCAAGAGCUGCCCCUCGAUGCCUCUCAGGUCCUCAUCUCUGAAAAUGACGGUCAUAGUACCUUUGUUCCGUAUGCAGCACUUGGUGUCUUCCGGUGGUCCCUUUACCUGUGGUCUCCUGCUUCAUCCCGUUCCAGCUCUGAUGUAGGAGGUCCCGCCACAGAUGAGAAAACUGAGGCUCGCUGCAGCUGGUCUCAAGUUACCCACCUAACAAGCGGCAGAGAAAAUGUGCCCUUAACCUUUACGUGAGUGUUUCUGAAUCCAGGAGUCCAGUUCAUACCAGGUGCCCACCCACCCACUCUGCCGCCUGCAGCACGGUGCCUGCCCUGCCCUGCCCCGCCCCACCACAACCCUUUAAAGACCUGUGGGCGGUGACCUUGGAUUGGCACCUAGAGUCUUUUGUCUGCUAUCCGGCCAACACCGGUUCCUUCAGCUGCCACUCCUCUGAUUCAACCUCCAGCCUCCUACCUGUCCUGUCAUCCUCUUUCUGGCCACCCUCCCCUACUUAACGGGAUGCACUCAGAAGCCACAACAAUGUUCCCGGCAGGAGCUGGUGGGGGCUGACCUGGACAGAGGAUUUAAAGAAACUUCUUUGUAUGGGACACCAUUAGUUUUCAACCCAGCAACCAGACCAGCAAGCACCAUGUCAACCCCAAUGGAAAGAGGCCUCGGAACAUGCAAAACUGAUUCUGUCUUAUGAGUCUAGCUAAAUAGGAGAAAGCCCUGGGGGAAGACAUCGGACCAUUUCCUGAGUCUGUACAGUCAAACCUGGAACAAUGCGGGAGGAAUGACAAGCAUCUUGAAAUGCUUUUUUCAUUUAUAAGUAUCAACAGUGGGAAGAGUCUAAGGAAAAUACUUGUGAAAGCCCUUGGAAAGUGACAGCACUCCAACUGGCGAUCUGAGGUUACUAUUUGUUCUCUCUGUUCCCAGAAUGAACCCAGGUAGACUCCUCCUUUUGCCCUCUGAGCAUGUAACUGCAUAGGUAGAAAACAGGAAAAUGAAUGGGGCUAUGGAAAACACAUUGGCCUAGGAGCCUGUCGCCCCGGGGACUUUCUGCCCAUGUGCUUCCGACUACUGGGAGCACUUAGGUAAGUCACCUAACCCUCUGGGCCUCAGUUGCCUCAUCUGCCACGAGACUAUCAAUUGGUUGGAAGAUUCCAGAAACCAGAGCAGUGCAUCCAAAACGUCCACCUGCGUUCAGGACUUUCCAGCCUUUUCUCCAGCUCAGGGCCCCUCCCACCCUGGCCCAGAACCACUGCUCAUUGACUUAACGCUCCCUCUAAAAUCGUCUUUAGUUCUAGUCAUAAUUUUUUUUUUUUAGUUUAACCCCAUCCCCAGAACAUUUACAAGGUCACAGAUUUAACGUGUUAAUGAUGACUUUGGUACAAGUUCAAAUAACCACUCGGGGAUUAAAAUUUGAAACGAUCUUUCUCCACACACCACCUAAAAUCAUCCUGUGUGCUUACAACACUGUAAGGACAUCGAACUUGGGUUCAUGGGUGGAUUUCAGGAAGCCCCUGAAUACCCUAAAAUUGGACACUAAGUUGUGUGUGGGAGAGGCGGGGUUUUUGUGGGGGGAGAUUUCAUAAACUUGCCAUGAUUCUCAAAGGUCCAUCUGUUCUGUACAAAUGCUGACAACCACUGCCUCCAGAGCCUGUCAGAUCUUUCUUCAGGAGGGAUGGGGGCCAAAAGACUACACCUUCUAAACAGCUGCCUGGGGGCACCUGGGUGGCUCAGCUGGUUAAGUGUCUGACUCUUGAUUUCGGCUCAGGUCAUGAU